rnacentral:rRNA from 1 species
GAUGAACGCUGGCGGCGUGCUUAACACAUGCAAGUCGAACGAUGAUGCCCAGCUUGCUUGGUGGAUUAGUGGCGAACGGGUGAGUAACACGUGAGUAACCUGCCCUUGACUCUGGGAUAAGCCUGGGAAACUGGGUCUAAUACCGGAUACGACCAUCUGGCGCAUGUCAUGGUGGUGGAAAGCUUUUGUGGUUUUGGGUGGACUCGCGGCCUAUCAGCUUGUUGGUGGGGUAAUGGCCUACCAAGGCGACGACGGGUAGCCGGCCUGAGAGGGUGACCGGCCACACUGGGACUGAGACACGGCCCAGCAUCCUACGGGAGGCAGCAGUGGGGAAUAUUGCACAAUGGGCGCAAGCCUGAUGCAGCGACGCCGCGUGAGGGAUGACGGCCUUCGGGUUGUAAACCUCUUUCAGUAGGGAAGAAGCGAAAGUGACGGUACCUGCAGAAGAAGCGCCGGCUAACUACGUG